GAUGAGCGCUGGCGGCGUGCCUAAUACAUGCAAGUCGAGCGAACGGACGAGAAGCUUGCUUUUCCGAUGUUAGCGGCGGACGGGUGAGUAACACGUGGAUAACCUACCUAUAAGACUGGGAUAACUUCGGGAAACCGGAGCUAAUACCGGAUAAUAUUUUGAACCGCAUGGUUCAAAAGUGAAAGACGGUCUUGCUGUCACUUAUAGAUGGAUCCGCGCUGCAUUAGCUAGUUGGUAAGGUAACGGCUUACCAAGGCAACGAUGCAUAGCCGACCUGAGAGGGUGAUCGGCCACACUGGAACUGAGACACGGUCCAGACUCCUACGGGAGGCAGCAGUAGGGAAUCUUCCGCAAUGGGCGAAAGCCUGACGGAGCAACGCCGCGUGAGUGAUGAAGGUCUUCGGAUCGUAAAACUCUGUUAUUAGGGAAGAACAUAUGUGUAAGUAACUGUGCACAUCUUGACGGUACCUAAUCAGAAAGCCACGGCUAACUACGUG
rnacentral:rRNA from 1 species